rnacentral:rRNA from 1 species
UACGUAGGCAGCGAGCGUUGUUCGGAAUUACUGGGCGUAAAGAGUGUGUAGGCGGUGCUCUAAGUUCGGUGUGAAAUCUCCCGGCUUAACUGGGAGGGUGCGCCGGAAACUGGAGUGCUCGAGCGUGGGAGAGGAAAGCGGAAUUCCUGGUGUAGCGGUGAAAUGCGUAGAGAUCAGGAAGAACAUCGGUGGCGAAGGCGCUCUGCUGGACCAUAACUGACACUCAGGGACGAAAGCUAGGGGAGCGAAUGGG